UACGAAGGGGGCUAGCGUUGCUCGGAAUUACUGGGCAUAAAGCGCACGUAGGUGGUCCGCUAAGUCGCGUGUGAAAUCCCCCCGGCUCAACCGGGGAAAUGCGCGUGAUACUGGCGGGCUUGAGAUCGGGAGGGGUGAAUGGAACUCCAGGUGGAGCGGUGAAAUGCGUAGAUAUCUGGAGGAACACCGGUGGCGAAAGCGGUUCACUGGCCCGACACUGACACUGAGGUGCGAAAGCUAGGGUAGCAAACGGGG
rnacentral:rRNA from 1 species